UGAGUUUCACCAUAUCAGAGAAAGUGGCACACACCAGCAAGUUUUCACAGAUGUUGCAUGACAUUCUAAAUGUUUGAUCUUCAGAGCCCUUCAUGCUCUCCCAGUGUACAUGUGUGAGGAGAACUGUUCUUCAGGACAUGAACUGAGGAAUUGGGCGAGCCAGACAUCACUGACACGAUCACCUCUCCUGCUGAUUUUGUUAUCAUGGACAUCGAAACCACUUCAAGUCCUGCAAGCACUGCAGUUGUGAUGAGAUGAUCUUCCAGUGUUUGACAUUCAGAAAUACACAGUUCACACGGUUUAAAAAAAGCUCAAUAAAA
ensembl:lncRNA